GACGAACGCUGGCGGCGUGCUUAACACAUGCAAGUCGAGCGGAAAGGCCCUGCUUUUGUGGGGUGCUCGAGUGGCGAACGGGUGAGUAACACGUGAGUAACCUGCCCUUGACUUUGGGAUAACUUCAGGAAACUGGGGCUAAUACCGGAUAGGAGCUCCUGCUGCAUGGUGGGGGUUGGAAAGUUUCGGCGGUUGGGGAUGGACUCGCGGCUUAUCAGCUUGUUGGUGGGGUAGUGGCUUACCAAGGCUUUGACGGGUAGCCGGCCUGAGAGGGUGACCGGCCACAUUGGGACUGAGAUACGGCCAAGACUCCUACGGGAGGCAGCAGUGGGGAAUAUUGCACAAUGGGCGGAAGCCUGAUGCAGCAACGCCGCGUGCGGGAUGACGGCCUUCGGGUUGUAAACCGCUUUCGCCUGUGACGAAGCGUGAGUGACGGUAAUGGGUAAAGAAGCACCGGCUAACUACGUG
rnacentral:rRNA from 1 species